CAGUAGACCACACUGAUGACUGGGGACAGGGAGGAGCCUUCUAGGCAGCUGACGACCUUUCUCCAAUUGCUUACAAUACUGGUUUCCAGUCCUGGAUAUUACUCAAAAGACAAGGCCCAGAGCACCUGUGUUGUUACAUACAUAUUUUUUGUCUUGAAAAUGCUGCUGAAGGUUAAAAAGAAGAAGCUGGAAUAUUGUCGGGGCUUGGA